CGCUAUUUGACUCUUUAAAUAUGCUUUAACAGACAUUGUUUGUUCAUCUUCCAAGAAAACAUCCUCUCAAAAAAGAAAUCCAUCCUCUCAAAAAAAAAAAAAACCUCCAAGAAAACAUGGCUACAGGCAUCGAUCGUGUACUUUUUUUCAUUGCAAUAUUAUGCGUUGCUUCCAUUUUGACUCCAGGUGGAGCAACAAAUGAAGACAAACUCAUUCCCGGUCCGACUCCCAAGCUUGCGCAUUGUUUUCGUGGUGUGUCGUGUCCAGUUGGUUGCAUACAGAAGUGUGCAGGUCUAGGUCUAGGUCAACCAGGCCAUUGUCAAGGAAACCAAUGUUGUUGUGCUGCAAUAUAACACUAUAGUUUAUGGCUUCCACUAUUUUUAUGGCUUCCAUCAAUGAUAGUUAGAAAUAAAUACUAAUGGAAAACCAUAUCUUUAUGGUAAUUUAUUAUGUAUGAACAAUCAUGUAUGAAUUAAUAUAUCACUGCUAGUUUGAGAAAUAUACAUGGGUGAUUGUGUUUGUUGUA